AUUGCUUCUCAGCCUUCUGGCUAAAAUCAAAGUGAAGUACCGGUAUCUGUUCUUAUCAGUUGAAUAUAUAAUACAGUGUGUUCUCUAUGUAAGGACACAGUGUUAAGCCAAUUUUGGAACCAGGAGUUGGAUAUGAGGCUUGGUCCCCCCACUAUAUGCAUUGACUUGAUAUUGCAGGGCCCAGUGCAAUUUCA